rnacentral:rRNA from 1 species
UACGUAGGUGGCGAGCGUUGUCCGGAUUUACUGGGCGUAAAGGGAGCGUAGGCGGACUUUUAAGUGAGAUGUGAAAUACCCGGGCUCAACUUGGGUGCUGCAUUUCAAACUGGAAGUCUAGAGUGCAGGAGAGGAGAAUGGAAUUCCUAGUGUAGCGGUGAAACGCGUAGAGAUUAGGAAGAACACCAGUGGCGAAGGCGAUUCUCUGGACUGUAACUGACGCUGAGGCUCGAAAGCGUGGGGAGCAAACAGGAUUAGAUACCCGCGUA